GGGAGGGCGAGGGGAGGAGAAAGCGGCGCGCGGGGAGCCCGGCCGCGCUCAGCCGCUCCUCACCUGGGCCGCCGCCGCCGCCGCGCCGUUUCCGUGCUGCUGCUGUUGCUGCUGCUGCUGCUGUAGAUACUCGCCGUGGCCGCCGCCGCCUCCGCCGCCGUCCACGUCCAAGGUAUGCCUGCUGCUCAUGGAGGGAAGAAGUGAGCUUGUAAUCCCUUUGGAGCUAGAGUUACAGAUGGCUAUGAGUUGCCACAGGGAUCCUGGAGAUUUGACCGAGAAGACCACUCACAGGUUGAUCCUCUUGUUCCACGAUGUGAGUUGCAGAUAUCAAACUCAGGUGGCCAGGCCUGGCAGCAAGCUCUUCUGGCCGUUCAGCCAUCUCACUGGCCCUGUGGAAAUCUUUUGAAGAAGAUGGACUCACAUGAGCACAAGUUCAGAAAUGAAUAGUUUGAAAGUAGGUUCUUGGAAAAUAAAUAAAUAAAUAAAUAAAUAAAGACAAUGGAAUGGAAAGAAGCAAAUCUCCUGCAAGCUUGUUUAAUAUACACUAACAGUGAAUACAUUAGAAGGCCAGAUGAAUAAACAG
ensembl:antisense Sp3os trans-acting transcription factor 3, opposite strand